rnacentral:rRNA from 3 species
CUGGAGGUAUCAGAAGUGCGAAUGCUGACAUAAGUAACGAUAAAGCGGGUGAAAAGCCCGCUCGCCGGAAGACCAAGGGUUCCUGUCCAACGUUAAUCGGGGCAGGGUGAGUCGACCCCUAAGGCGAGGCCGAAAGGCGUAGUCGAUGGGAAACGGGUUAAUAUUCCCGUACUUGGUGUUACUGCGAAGGGGGGACGGAGAAGGCUAUGUUGGCCGGGCGACGGUUGUCCCGGUUUAAGCGUGUAGGUGUGUGUUCCAGGUAAAUCCGGUUCACUUUAACACUGAGGCGUGACGACGAGGCACUACGGUGCUGAAGCAACAAAUGCCCUGCU